UACGUAGGGUGCGAGCGUUGUCCGGAAUUACUGGGCGUAAAGAGCUCGUAGGUGGUUUGUCGCGUUGUUCGUGAAAACUCACAGCUUAACUGUGGGCGUGCGGGCGAUACGGGCAGACUGGAGUACUGCAGGGGAGACUGGAAUUCCUGGUGUAGCGGUGGAAUGCGCAGAUAUCAGGAGGAACACCGGUGGCGAAGGCGGGUCUCUGGGCCGAUACUGACGCUGAGGAGCGAAAGCGUGGGGGAGCGAACAGG
rnacentral:rRNA from 1 species